rnacentral:tRNA from 1 species
UCCCUGGUGGCUCAGAUGGUAAAGUGUCUGUCUGCAAUGCAGGAGACACAGGUUCAAUCCCUGGGUUGGGAA